CCUACGGGAGGCAGCAGUGGGGAAUAUCUGCACAAUGGGCGCAAGCCUGAUGCAGCCAUGCCGCGUGUGUGAAGAAGGCCUUCGGGUUGUAAAGCACUUUCAGUCAGGAGGAAAGGUUAGUAGUUAAUACCUGCUAGCUGUGACGUUACUGACAGAAGAAGCACCGGCUAACUCCGUGCCAGCAGCCGCGGUAAUACGGAGGGUGCGAGCGUUAAUCGGAAUUACUGGGCGUAAAGCGUACGCAGGCGGUUUGUUAAGCGAGAUGUGAAAGCCCCGGGCUCAACCUGGGAACUGCAUUUCGAACUGGCAAACUAGAGUGUGAUAGAGGGUGGUAGAAUUUCAGGUGUAGCGGUGAAAUGCGUAGAGAUCUGAAGGAAUACCGAUGGCGAAGGCAGCCACCUGGGUCAACACUGACGCUCAUGUACGAAAGCGUGGGGAGCAAACGGGAUUAGAUACCCCGGUAGUCCACGCCGUAAACGAUGUCUACUAGAAGCUCGGAGCCUCGGUUCUGUUUUUCAAAGCUAACGCAUUAAGUAGACCGCCUGGGGAGUACGGCCGCAAGGUUAAAACUCAAAGGAAUUGACGG
rnacentral:rRNA from 1 species